UGGGGAAUCUUGCACAAUGGGGGCAACCCUGAUGCAGCGACGCCGCGUGAGCGAUGAAGCCCUUCGGGGCGUAAAGCUCUUUCGACCGGAACGAUAAUGACGGUACCGGGAGAAGAAGCUGCGGCUAACUACGUGCCAGUAGCCGCGGUAAUACGUAGGCAGCAAGCGUUGUUCGGAGUUACUGGGCGUAAAGAGUGCGUAGGCGGUUUUCUAAGUUCGGUGUGAAAUCUCCCGGCUUAACUGGGAGGGUGCGCCGAAGACUGGGAAGCUGGAGUGUGGGAAAGGCAGGCGGAAUUCCUGGUGUAGCGGUGAAAUGCGUAGAUAUCAGGAGGAACACCGGCGGUGUAGACGGCUUGCUAGACCAUAACUGACGCUGAGGCACGAAAGCGUGGGUAGCAAACA
rnacentral:rRNA from 1 species